GACAGAGGGUACAAACGUUGUUCGGAAUUACUGGGCGUAAAAGCGCGUGUAGGCGGCUCUGCAAGUCGGAUGUGAAAUCCCACGGCUCAACCAUGGAAGUGCAUUCGAAACUGCAGGGCUAGAGUCCUGGAGAGGAAGGUGGAAUGCUUGGUGUAGAGGUGAAAUUCGUAGAUAUCAAGCGGAACACCGGUGGCGAAGGCGGCCUUCUGGACCGAUAUUGGACGCUGAGGAGCGAAAGCCAGGGGAGCAAACGGG
rnacentral:rRNA from 1 species